rnacentral:rRNA from 1 species
ACGCAGUAAACGAUGAAUACUAGCUGUUGGCGAUAUAAUGUCAGCGGUACAGCGAAAGUGUUAAGUAUUCCACCUGGGGAGUACGCCGGCAACGGUGAAACUCAAAGGAAUUGACGGGGGCCCGCACAAGCGGAGGAACAUGUGGUUUAAUUCGAUGAUACGCGAGGAACCUUACCCGGGCUUGAAAGUUAGUGACGGACGCAGAGACGCGUCUUCCCUUCGGGGCACGAAACUAGGUGCUGCAUGGUUGUCGUCAGCUCGUGCCGUGAGGUGUCGGCUUAAGUGCCAUAACGAGCGCAACCCCUGCCGUUAGUUGCCAUCGGGUAAUGCCGGGAACUCUAGCGGGACUGCUACUGUAAGGUAGAGGAGGGUGGGGAUGACGUCAAAUCAGCACGGCCCUUACGUCCGGGGCGACACACGUGUUACAAUGGCGAGUACAGAGGGUUGCUACCUGGCGACAGGAUGCUAAUCUCAUAAAACUCGUCUCAGUUCGGAUUGGAGUCUGCAACUCGACUCCAUGAAGCUGGAUUCGCUAGUAAUCGCGCAUCAGCCAUGGCGCGGUGAAUACGUUCCCGGGCCUUGUACACACCGCCCGUCAAGCCAUGGAAGCCUGGGGUACCUAAAGUUCGUAACCGCGAGGAGCGACCUAGGGUAAAACAGGUAACUGGGGCU